rnacentral:rRNA from 1 species
GAUGAACGCUAGCGGCAGGCUUAACACAUGCGAGUCGAGGGGUAUAGGUUUUCGGACCUAGAGACCGGCGCACGGGUGCGUAACGCGUAUGCAAUCUACCUUUCACAGAGGGAUAGCCCAGAGAAAUUUGGAUUAAUACCUCAUAGUAUUAUGAAGUGGCAUCAUUUUAUAAUUAAAGUUCCAACGGUGAAAGAUGAGCAUGCGUCCCAUUAGCUAGAUGGUAAGGUAACGGCUUACCAUGGCGACGAUGGGUAGGGGUCCUGAGAGGGAGAUCCCCCACACUGGUACUGAGACACGGACCAGACUCCUACGGGAGGCAGCAGUGAGGAAUAUUGGUCAAUGGACGCAAGUCUGAACCAGCCAUGCCGCGUGCAGGAUGACGGUCCUAUGGAUUGUAAACUGCUUUUGUACGAGAAGAAACACUCCUUCGUGAAGGAGCUUGACGGUAUCGUAAGAAUAAGGAUCGGCUAACUCCGUGCCAGCCGCCGCCGUAA